CAGCCGCCGCGGUAAUACGUAGGGUGCAAGCGUUAAUCGGAAUUACUGGGCGUAAAGCGUGCGCAGGCGGUGUUGUAAGACUGAUGUGAAAUCCCCGGGCUCAACCUGGGAACUGCAUUGGUGACUGCAGCGCUGGAGUGCGGCAGAGGGGGAUGGAAUUCCGCGUGUAGCAGUGAAAUGCGUAGAUAUGCGGAGGAACACCGAUGGCGAAGGCAAUCCCCUGGGCCUGCACUGACGCUCAUGCACGAAAGCGUGGGGAGCAAACAGGAUUAGAUACCCCGGUAGUCCCUGUCUCUUAUAC
rnacentral:rRNA from 1 species